GUGCCAGCAGCCGCGGUAAUACGGGGGGGACAAGCGUUGUUCGGAUUUACUGGGCGUAAAGGGCGCGUAGGCGGGCCUUCAAGUCGGAUGUGAAACCUGGUGGCUUAACCACCAGCCUGCAUUCGAUACUGUUGGUCUUGAGUACGGGAGAGGAGAAUGGAAUUUCAGGUGUAGCGGUGAAAUGCGUAGAUAUCUGAAAGAACACCAGUAGCGAAGGCGGUUCUCUGGACCGAUACUGACGCUGAAGCGCGAAGGCUUGGGGAGCAAACAGGAUUAGAAACCCUGGUAGUCC
rnacentral:rRNA from 1 species